GGGCCUUUAGCUCAGUUGGUAAGAGCAGCGAGCUCAUAACUCGAAGGUCAUCGGUUCAAGCCCGGUAAGGCCCA
rnacentral:tRNA from 1 species